CUGAAAGCCACGUGUGCUGGAUAGACCUUCAUCUUACCACCUUUGCCUCCCCCAGAUGCCAGCAAGGUUCAGGCUAAGCAGAUAACAGGAUCUGCAAGGCUGAGAACCGAAGCCCAGUGAAAUCACUUGUUAGGAACCACAAUUCUGUGGGGCCUGAUCCCCUGUUUGGCUGUGAGAAAAUCUUUGUCAGGAAUGAGCAAAGAAGGAAUUCAGUGUGAAGACGUGGAUUCAGUCUCCUGUUCCCACUAUGGGCUUCCCUGCGGUGACAGAAUAAUGCAGAAAUUCUCUGUGGAAAAAAACUGAGGCAGAAGCCUUUGUUGUUCUCCUCACUACAGUGCAUCUGAAAUGCUUUUCACCAUACAGGACCUGGCAUUUGAUCCAGUGUAUGUG